CCCCGUAGCUCAGUUAGUAGAGCAUGGUGUUUGCAACGCCAGGGUUGUGGGUUCGAUUCCCACGGGGG
rnacentral:tRNA from 1 species